rnacentral:rRNA from 1 species
GACGAACGCUGGCGGCGUGCCUAAUACAUGCAAGUCGAGCGGAUUGAUGGGAGCUUGCUCCCUGAUAUCAGCGGCGGACGGGUGAGUAGCACGUGGGCAACCUGCCUAUAAGACUGGGAUAACUUCGGGAAACCGGAGCUAAUACCGGAUAAUCCCUUUCCUCUCAUGAGGAAAGGCUGAAAGAUGGUUUACGCUAUCACUUAUAGAUGGGCUCGCGGCGCAUUAGCUAGUUGGUGAGGUAACGGCUCACCAAGGCAACGAUGCGUAGCCGACCUGAGAGGGUGAUCGGCCACACUGGGACUGAGACACGGCCCAGACUCCUACGGGAGGCAGCAGUAGGGAAUCUUCCGCAAUGGACGAAAGUCUGACGGAGCAACGCCGCGUGAGUGAUGAAGGUUUUCGGAUCGUAAAACUCUGUUGUUAGGGAAGAACAAGUACGAGAGUAACUGCUCGUACCUUGACGGUACCUAACCAGAAAGCCACGGCUAACUACGUGCCAGCCGCCGCAGUAA